AGGUUUUUCAAUAACUUCUGCUGAUGAGAUGCAGCAACAGGAGGAGAAGAUAGAAAUUAAAAAGAGUAGCAUCAGAGAGUGUAUUAACGAAAACAACAGGAUGUUCUUCUUCCCCCAAGAGAGAAAGGAUAAGAAGAGGAUGGCACAGUGGGUGGAAGUAUGUGACAACCCAAAGUCGGUGCUUCCAUCUGAAAACUGAAAUUCUGGGUGAUCUGUAGCAGCUACUUUAAAGAAAAGUACUUCAUGAGGAAAAGAUUAACAACAUCAGCAGUUCCAGCACUGAACUUAUUUGAGGCUGUAAUAAAUAUUGCAUGUCAGAGGCUGCCUCUAUUAAAAUAGAGCAACAAGAUACCUGGAUGCAAAUGAAAAGAAGAAGAAGAUUGUA